rnacentral:rRNA from 1 species
AGUGUAGGCGGCUACUUAAGUCGGAUGUGAAAGCCCCGGGCUCAACCUGGGAAUUGCAUUCGAAACUGGGUAGCUAGAGUUUGGUAGAGGUAAGUGGAAUUCCGGGUGUAGCGGUGAAAUGCGUAGAUAUCCGGAGGAACCUCAGUGGCGAAGGCAGCUUACUGGACCAAAACUGACGCUGAGGCUCGAAAGCGUGGGGAGCAAACAGGAUUAGAUACCCUGGUAGUCC